AACAAACGCUGGCGGCGUGCCUAAUACAUGCAAGUCGAACGGGGAAAGCUUUCGGGUGAGUACUAGUGGCGCACGGGUGAGGAACGCGUGGAUAAUCUGCCUUAGAGUGGGGGAUAACUAGUCGAAAGAUUAGCUAAUACCGCAUAAGACCACAGGAGCUGCGGCUCUAGGGGUCAAAGGUUUUUCGCUCUAAGGUGAGUCCGCGUAAGAUUAGCUAGUUGGUGAGGUAACGGCUCACCAAGGCGACGAUCUUUAACUGGUCUGAGAGGAUGAUCAGUCACACUGGAACUGAGACACGGUCCAGACUCCUACGGGAGGCUGCAGUAGGGAAUAUUGCACAAUGGAGGAAACUCUGAUGCAGCGACGCCGCGUGAGUGAUGAAGGCCUUCGGGUCGUAAAGCUCUGUCGCAGGGGAAUAACACAAUGAAUGUACCCUGUAAGAAAGGAUCGGCUAACUUCGUGCCAGCAGCCGCGGUAAAAC
rnacentral:rRNA from 1 species